rnacentral:rRNA from 1 species
UACGAAGGGUGCAAGCGUUAUUCGGAAUCACUGGGCGUAAAGGGUGCGUAGACGGUAUGUUAAGUUUGUUGUUAAAGGCUCCGGCCUAACUGGAGUAUUGCGAUGAAAACUGGCGUGCUAGAGGGUGAGAGAGAGAAGUGGAAUUCCCGGAGUAGCGGUAAAAUGCGUGGAUCUCGGGAGGAACACCAAUGGCGAAGGCAGCUUCUUGGCUCAUUCCUGACGUUGAGGCACGAAAGCGUGGGGAGCAAACAGGG